UCCCGUUUAGCUCAGUUGGUAGAGCGCGUCACUAGUAUCAUGCUAUGACGAGGUCAGUCGUUCGAGUCGGCUAAUGGGAA
rnacentral:tRNA from 1 species